CACUUGCAUGCCUAGUACGGCGAGUGAGCGGCAACAGCUCAAAUUUGAAAGCUAGCCUUCGGGUUCGCAUUGUAAUUUGUAGAGGAUGCUUUGGGUAAAACGCCAGUCUAAGUUCCUUGGAACAGGACGUCAUAGAGGGUGAGAAUCCCGUAUGUGACUGGAAAUGUUAACCUAUGUAAAGCUCCUUCGACGAGUCGAGUUGUUUGGGAAUGCAGCUCUAAAUGGGAGGUAAAUUUCUUCUAAAGCUAAAUAUUGGCGAGAGACCGAUAGCGCACAAGUAGAGUGAUCGAAAGAUGAAAAGCACUUUGGAAAGAGAGUUAAAAAGCACGUGAAAUUGUUGAAAGGGAAGCGCUUGCAAUCAGACUUGUUUAAACUGUUCGGCCGGUCUUCUGACCGGUUUACUCAGUUUGGACAGGCCAGCAUCAGUUUCGGCGGCCGGAUAAAGGCUCUGGGAAUGUGGCCUCCACUUCGGUGGAGGUGUUAUAGCCCAGUGUGUAAUACGGCCAGCCGGGACUGAGGUCCGCGCUUCGGCUAGGAUGCUGGCGUAAUGGUUGUAAGCGACCCGUCUUGAAAA
rnacentral:rRNA from 1 species